UACAGAGGAGCCAUGCGUUGUCCGGAUUGACUGGGCGUAAAGCGCACGCAGGCGGUCGCGCGCGUGGGGUGUGAAAUCUGGCCGCUUAACGGCCAGGCGCCAUCCCAUACGGCGCGACUGGAGUGAUGCAGAGGUCGAUGGAAUUGCCGGUGUAGUGGUGAAAUGCGUAGAUAUCAGGAGGAACACCGGUGGCGAAGGCGGAUCUCUGGGCCGAUACUGACGCUGAGGAGCGAAAGCGUGGGGAGCGAACAGG
rnacentral:rRNA from 1 species